GAACGCACAUUGCGCCCCUUGGUAUUCCGAGGGGCAUGCCUGUUCGAGCGUCAUAUAAACCCCUCAAGCCCAGCUUGGUGUUGGGGCCUGCUAUACUAGCAGCCCUUAAAAUCAGUGGCGGUGCCAUCUGGCUCUAAGCGUAGUAAUUUCUCUCGCUAUAGGGUUCAAGUGGAUGCUUGCCAUCAACCCCCAAUUUUCUAUGGUUGACCUCGGAUCAGGUAGGGAUACCCGCUGAACUUAAG
rnacentral:misc_RNA from 1 species